rnacentral:rRNA from 1 species
GGAGUUAGCCGGUGCUUCUUCUGUGAGUGAUGUCCUUCCUGCCGGCUAUUAACCCGCAGGCCUUCUUCCUCACUGAAAGUGCUUUACAACCCGAAGGCCUUCUUCACACACGCGGCAUGGCUGGAUCAGGGUUGCCCCCAUUGUCCAAUAUUCCCCACUGCUGCCUCCCGUAGGAGUCUGGGCCGUGUCUCAGUCCCAGUGUGGCUGAUCAUCCUCUCAGACCAGCUACGGAUCGUCGCCUUGGUGAGCCGUUACCUCACCAACCAGCUAAUCCGACAUAGGCUCAUCCGAUAGCGCGAGGCCCGAAGGUCCCCCGCUUUCCCCCGUAGGGCGUAUGCGGUAUUAGCCUGGGUUUCCCCAGGUUAUCCCCCACUACCGGGCAGAUUCCUAUGCAUUACUCACCCGUCCGCCGCUCGCCACCAGGGAGCAAGCUCCCCGUGCUGCCGCUCGACUUGCAUGUGUUAGGCCUGCCGCCAGCGUUCAAUCUGAGCCAUAGANACAAACUCUAGA